AGCACAAUUAAGACAAUAAACAAAGCAAAUGGUUCAACACAAGACCACACAUUAUUAGGGGGGACCACAACCACAAUGCCGCAACAGAAACAAAGCAAAUGCCCAUAUAAUGGGGGACACCAUACAGAAAUCAAAACUAAUGGGGGGACCACGGUGAAAGCAACAAAACACAAAUUAGAACCUAAUAUAAACACACCUUCGAAAGUCGAUUUCAUAAUACCCUACCAACUCGAUCUCUGGAAAUGCGCGUCCAAAUCUCCUCUAGAAUGAUCUCUACACGAUCUUUGUGUUCGCGAUAACGUUUCUCUCUUCUUUCGCACAACCUAAUAUUCCAUAAUCAAGCCCUAAAUCAUUUUUUCCCAAAUUAAAGAAUCCUAUUUUUUUUAAUCAAAACUUAAUCGUGGUCUAAUUAACAAACACGUCACAAUGCACACAGACAUAUUUUGACACGUAACCAUUAAGUUGUUUCACAUCAUCACCCUAUUAACUUUGUUUCC
rnacentral:lncRNA from 1 species